rnacentral:rRNA from 1 species
AAUUAAAUAGCUGCAGAUUUUCUGUACUAAGGUAGCAUAAUCAAUUGCCUUCUAAAUCAAGGAUAGAAUGAAAGGUUAAACGAAUUUUAAACUUUUUAAAAAAUAAAAAACUAAUUUAAAAUAUUGGUAAAAAUUCCUAUAAAAAAAGAAAGACGACAAGACCCUAUUGAACUUUACAUAUGUUUAGCUGGGGAAGCACAUUAACAAAAUCUUACAGAUUUUUCAAAAAAGAACCUUAUUGAUAAUUGAACAAGUUACCAUAGGGAUAACAGCAUAAUUUAAUUCUAAAGCUCAUAUUUAAAAUAAAGUUUAUGACCUCGAUGUUGAAUUAAUAUUCUAGUAAAAGCAAAAAUUUACAAAGAAAGACUGUUCGUCUUUUAAAUAAUUACAUGAUUUGAGUUCAGACCGGUACCAUAAAGCCAGGUCGGUUUCUAUCUUCUUUUACUAAAUUUUAGUACGAAAGGACCAAAUUUUAUUUUAUAUUAAUAUGACAGAACAUUGUAUUAGAAUUAGAAUCUAAAAAUCCUUUUAAUCCUAUCCUUAAAUGCCUUAAUUAUUAUUGUUUCUAUUUUACUAAGAGUAGCAUUUUAUACCAUACUAGAGCGAAAAAUUUUAAGAUAUAUCCAAAUACGAAAAGGACCAAACAAAGUUGGAAUAAUAGGAAUUUUACAACCAUUUAGAGAUGCCAUCAAAUUAUUUAAUAAAUCGUUCUCUUUUCCAACAACAACAAACUAUAUUUUAGCAAUUAUAUCUCCACCCCUAACCUUUUUCCUAGCCAUUCUUAUUUGACCAAUAAUACCAUUCGCUAAAUACAAUACUUUUGAUAUAAUAUUUAACUCAUUAAUUUUUCUAAUUAUUUCAAGAUUAACAGUAUAUUUUAUUUUAAUAAUUGGAUGAGCUGCAA